rnacentral:rRNA from 1 species
GAUCGGCCCGCGUCUGAUUAGCUAGUUGGUGGGGUAACGGCCUACCAAGGCAACGAUCCGUAGCUGGUCUGAGAGGAUGAUCACCCACACUGGGACUGAGACACGGCCCACACUCCUACGGGAGGCAGCAGUGGGGAAUAUUGGACAAUGGGCGCAAGCCUGAUCCAGCCAUGCCGCGUGAGUGACGAAGGUCUUCGGAUUGUAAAGCUCUUUUGGCGGGGACGAUAAUGACGGUACCCGCAGAAUAAGCCCCGGCUAACUUCGUGCCAGCAGCCGCGGUAAUACGAAGGGGGCUAGCGUUGUUCGGAAUCACUGGGCGUAAAGCGCACGUAGGCGGAUGUGUCAGUCAGGGGUGAAAUCCCGGAGCUCAACUUCGGAACUGCCUCUGAUACAGCACGUCUUGAGUCCGGAAGAGGUGGGUGGAAUUCCUAGUGUAGAGGUGAAAUUCGUAGAAAUUAAGAAGAAACCCCGUGGCGAACGCCGCCCACUGGUCCGGUACUGACGCUUAAGUGCGAAAGCGUGGGGAGCAAACAGGAUUAGAUUCCCCUGUAGUCCCCGCCCUAAACGAUGGAUGCUAGCCCUCCACAAACAUGCUUGUUGGGGGCCCACCUAACGCAUUUAGCCUCCCCCCGGGGGAGUA